ACUCCUACGGGAGGCAGCAGUGGGAAUAUUGCACAAUGGGGAAACCCGUAGCAUGCAGCCAUGCCGCGUGUGUGAAGAAGGCCUUCGGGUUGUAAAGCACUUUCAGUCGUGAGGAAAGGGUUGUAGUUAAUACCUGCAAUCUGUGACGUUAGCGACAGAAGAAGCACCGGCUAACUCCGUGCCAGCAGCCGCGGUAAUACGGAGGGUGCGAGCGUUAAUCGGAAUUACUGGGCGUAAAGCGCAUGCAGGCGGCCUGUUAAGUCAGAUGUGAAAGCCCGGGGCUUAAGCCU
rnacentral:rRNA from 1 species